UACAGAGGUCUCAAGCGUUGUUCGGAUUCAUUGGGCGUAAAGGGUGCGUAGGCGGCGCGGUAAGUCGGGUGUGAAAUCUCGGGGCUUAACUCCGAAACUGCAUUCGAUACUGCCGUGCUUGAGGACUGGAGAGGAGACUGGAAUUUACGGUGUAGCGGUGAAAUGCGUAGAUAUCGUAAGGAAGACCAGUGGCGAAGGCGGGUCUCUGGACAG
rnacentral:rRNA from 1 species